rnacentral:rRNA from 1 species
GACGAACGCUGGCGGCGUGCCUAAUACAUGCAAGUAGAACGCUGAAGGAGGAGCUUGCUUCUCUGGAUGAGUUGCGAACGGGUGAGUAACGCGUAGGUAACCUGCCUGGUAGCGGGGGAUAACUAUUGGAAACGAUAGCUAAUACCGCAUAAGAGUAGAUGUUGCAUGACAUUUGCUUAAAAGGUGCACUUGCAUCACUACCAGAUGGACCUGCGUUGUAUUAGCUAGUUGGUGGGGUAAGGGCUCACCAAGGCGACGAUACAUAGCCGACCUGAGAGGGUGAUCGGCCACACUGGGACUGAGACACGGCCCAGACUCCUACGGGAGGCAGCAGUAGGGAAUCUUCGGCAAUGGACGGAAGUCUGACCGAGCAACGCCGCGUGAGUGAAGAAGGUUUUCGGAUCGUAAAGCUCUGUUGUAAGAGAAGAACGAGUGUGAGAGUGGAAAGUUCACACUG